UACGAAGGGGGCUAGCGUUGCUCGGAAUCACUGGGCGUAAAGCGCACGUGGGCGGAUUGUUAAGUCAGGGGUGAAAUCCUGGAGCUCAACUCCAGAACUGCCUUUGAUACUGGCAAUCUCGAGUUCGGGAGAGGUGAGUGGAACUGCGAGUGUAGAGGUGAAAUUCGUAGAUAUUCGCAAGAACACCAGUGGCGAAGGCGGCUCACUGGCCCGAUACUGACGCUGAGGUGCGAAAGCGUGGGGAGCAAACAGG
rnacentral:rRNA from 1 species